GGAAGUAAAAGUCGUAACAAGGUUUCCGUAGGUGAACCUGCGGAAGGAUCAUUACUGAUUUAGCGAACCGAGCGUUAGCGAGGUUUUGCGAUCAACUUGUAUUUAAAACCCACUCUUCAAUGUAUAAAAUUUGUAUUAAUGAUAAAUUAAAAGAUCACUUUCAACAACGGAUCUCUUGGCUCUCGCAUCGAUGAAGAACGUAGCGAAGUGCGAUAAGUAAUGUGAAUUGCAGUAUUCCGUGAAUCAUCGAACCUUUGAACGCAUAUUGCACUUUCUGGUAUUCCGGAAAGUAUGCCUGUUUGAGGGUCAGUUAAAUAAAAAUCGGUGUUGUUGCCGCUUUCCGUGGUGACGCGUCGGAAUUGAGUCGUCUUCGGUUAAGUGACUUAAAAUUUUAUACGAUUUUCGAACGUAUUUAAAUUUAUUUGAACGUUUGAUAUCGAAUGCUUAUUAGGUUCGGUCAUCCUCAUGACUCGCGCCUAUAAUUUUUCAUUAAAUGACCUCAAAUCAGGUAAGAAUACCCGCUGAACUUAAGCAUAUCAAUAAGCGGAGGA
rnacentral:rRNA from 1 species